rnacentral:lncRNA from 1 species
CCAAGAAAGGUCGGCCUAGAAUAAUGGGGAUGUGCUUCCUUGAGUCCUGUAUUGGUUGAGUGUCAAUUACAAUGAAAUCAACAGGAAAAUAAAACUUGUCUACCUGGAUAAGCACGUCCUCCACAAUACCACGAGGUAUUUUUGUGGACCGAUCUGCAAGUUGUAACACCACUGGAGUUGGGUUGUAAUUCUCCCAGUCCAAGUUUCACAAAUACUGAAUAAGGCAACAAAUUUACACUAGCUCCUAAAUCCAACAAAGCAUUCUCAAUUGUGUGGUUCCCUAUACUACAUGAGAUAGUGGGGAGCCUGGGUCUUUGCAUUUUAGAGGAAUUUUAUGUUGGAGUAUAGAACUAACGUUUUCUGUUAAAAAUGCCUUCUUUUGAACAUGCAUAUUUCUCUUUUUAGUACAAAGGUCUUUAAGAAACUUGGCAUAAGAUGGAAUUUGUUUUAUAGCAUCAAAGCAAAGGGAUAUUGACACUUACCUGUUUGAAGAUUUCGAGAAUCUCACCUGUGGAUUUUCCCUUCUUUCCUUUCACUAACCUCUGAGGAAAUGGAGCUUUGGGAACGUAUUCUCGUGGGUUGGUUUCUUCUUUUUCCCUCCGUGGUGAGUCCUCAGCAUUUACAGUACAAUUUUGAUUUUCUUUUGUCACCGGCAUCUCCACUUUAUUGUCGACUUCCUUUCCUUUUCGCAAGGUCAUGACUGCUUUGACCUCUCCAUGCUGCUUGUGGUGAACUGGUACUUGCUUCAUGUACUCCUUUAGGAUUAGGCACUGGUUGACUUGGAAAUUUUCCUUUCUCAACAGUCAUUGCCAAGGUCUGAACUGAAGAAGCAAGUUGUCCCACCAUCUUCUCGAGGCUUGAAACUGAUUGGGCUUGUGAUUGAAGCCGCUCUCAACUCAUUUCGUAGUCCAUCAAUGGUGCGGUUCUGUUGCUCAAUCGUAGAGUGAGUAGCAUUCUUGAAAUUCUGGAAUGAAUCCUCCCAUGGUCUGGGUUGAGAGUAGUUCUGGUUCUGAUUGAAUGGUCUAAAUGGGGGCUGAGAGGCUUGAGGAACUUGAGGAAUUUGUGGAGCUGGAGCUGCUGGUCCAUUCUGUUGGAAUCCUUGAGACCAUGAAAAUUGGGGUGGUCUCUCCAUCCAGGGUUAUAUGUGUUGGAGUAUGGGUUGUAAUUAGAUGGCUUUCUCAUUACACCUAUGGCAUUGGCUUGAUCUGGAUAUGAGUCAGGGUCAUGUGAUUCUGUUGAUUUAGCAGUCGAUAACGAUGCUAUUUGUCGAGCAAGACCUUCAACCAUCUCCUUGACUUCUUUGAUUCCCGAAGUUGACUCGCCAAUGUGAACCUCAUUCACUCCUUUAAUUCUUCUAGUAUUCCUGAGUGAUCGAACUCCGUUGUUGGGAAUUAUCCGCUUGUCGCUGGAAGAAUUCCCAAAUCUCUGUUGCGCUUUUUGACAUUAGCUCUCCUCCACUUGUUGCCAUUAGCCAUUCUUGCACAUUCGGCAAUAAUCCCUCCAAAAAGUAUUGGCAUUGUGCAUUUUUUCUCGUACCCAUGAUGUGGACACUUCAAGAGUAGCCCAUUGAAUCGCUCCCAAGUUUCGAAAAACUGCUCGUCCUCUCUUUGUGUAAACUCUGAAAUUUCCCUGCGAAUAGAAUUGGUUUUAUGCACUGGGAAAUAUUUAUUCAAAAAUUUAGUUACCAUUUGUUCCCAUGAUGAAAUGCUAUUAGCAGGCAAAGUAUUUAACCAUGAACGAGCUCUAUCCUUUAAAGAAAAUGGGAAUAGUCUGAGUUUAACAUCAUCGUCUGAAAAAUUUUCAUAUUUAAAAGUUUGACAAAUGGCAUGAAAAUCAUUCAGAUGAUUAUAUGGGUCCUCAUUUUCUAAGCCAUAGAAUGUGGGGAGACAAUUUAGCACACUAGGUUUUAGUUCAAAACUCCUAGCAGCUACAUUUGGGUAUCUAAUACAUGAUGUGCUCAAAUUAGCUAAGGGACUAAAAUAGUCCUUAAAUGGCCCUCCUGUGGUUGCAAAUCCAUUUUAAUUUUUAACGUGUUUGUGUGUGCGAAGUGUUUUUUCUAAUUCAAGGUCUAUAGGUUCAAGAUUAGGUAAUAAUGACCUACGACCAUGCAUGCAAACAAAUAAAAUAAAAAUAAAGAUGGGAACAAAACAAAUAAAAAUAAAGAAGAGAGAAAAUUACGAUACUAACCUUAUUGCGCUAUUACAACUUUCUAUAAAAAAUACACAAAAAAAAAAAUACGUGAAAUAAAUUAACUAAAAAUUAAAUUAAUAAAAUAAACAAAAUUACAAAGAAAAAAUAAAUUGAAAAUUAAAUUACAGAAUUUUAAAGAAAGAAAAAAAAGAAAUACUAACCUUUAAAUGUAGAUUUAUUUUUUUUUUUUUUUAAUAAUUAAAAAAAAUACAAGAAAAAAAUAAAAGAAAUUAAUACAAAAAUUAAUUCUAUGAAUUAAAAUUACUUACCUCCCCGGCAACGGCGCCAAAAACUUGUUGUGCAAAUUUUAAUGAACUCGCAAGCGCACGAAUCUAUUGUAGUGUAGAUCAAUGGUGACGAGUGUCGAUCCCACGAGGAGGUGGAUUUUAAUUGUUAUAGAAUUAAUUUUGUAAAAUGGGUGGUUUGAAUUGUGGUGGAAGUGAUUUAAAAUAUGCUAAAAUUGGAAUUGCAAUGGCGAGAAUAAAUUGUAGAGAAAUCGAUUAAAUUGACGUACUUGGGUAUCUGGAUCCGUAUCAACAUGCAUCAUGGGCUAAAUAAUCCGUAUUAAUGCCAAUUAAAUCAUGAUGGGGGAAUCCACACANNNNNUUAAUUAAUUAANNNNNAACAAUGUUGCUUUUCAAAAAUCCUAUCACCACCUUGUGAUCAUUGGUUCUACAUGGAAUUGCUUCUACCCAUUUUGAGACGUAGUCAACACCAACCAAUAUGUAUUGAUGGCCAAAAGAAGGGGGAAAGGGUCCCAUGAAGUUGAUACCCCAUACGUAAAAAAUCUUAACCACUAAAAUUGGAUUUAGUGGCAUCAUGUUCCUUCGUGUAAUGCUCCCCAUUCGUUGACACCUAUCACAUGAAGAACAAAAAGGGUAAGCAUCUCGAAAUAUAGUUGGCCAAUAAAAACCACAUUGUAAAACUUUAGUCGCGGUUUUUCUUAGCACUGAAAUGGCCUCCACAAGCUUGUUCAUGGCAGAAUGAAAGGAUAUUCUGAAUUUCACUUUCUGGACACAUCGUCUAACAAUUUGGUCUGCACAAUACUUGAACAAAUAUGGGUCAUCCCAAAAGAAAUUCUUUUAUUUCUGCAAAGAAUUUAGCCUUGUCUUGCUUGGUCCAAUGCUCUGAAAAUUUACCUGUAACAAGAUAAUUAACUAUAUCAGCAUACCAAUGUAAUACUUCCACAUUCAUUAAUUGUUCAUCUGAAAUGACUCAUUCAAUGGUAAUGGUUCCAUAAUUGUAUCAAAAUGGAGGCGAGAGAGAUGGUCAGCUACAACAUUCUCUGUGCCUUUCUUAUCUUUGAAUUCCAAGUCAAAUUCCUGCAAAAGUAACACCCAACGAAUUAGUCUAGCUUUUGCAUCUUUCUUUGUGAGAAGAUAUUUAAGAGCAGCAUGAUCUGUGAAUAUAAUUAUUUUACAACUAAUGAGAUAAGAUCGAAAUUUCUCUAAUGCAAACACUACUGCUAGCAUUUCUUUUUCAGUAGUUGAAUAGUUCAACUGUGCAUCAUUCAAUGUCAUACUAGCAUAGUAAAUAACAUGAGGAAUUCGAUCAACUCUUUGUCCUAAAACUGCUCCUACUGCAUAAUCAGAUGCAUCACACAUAAGCUCAAAUGGUAAGCUCCAGUUUGGGGCCUGAAUGAUGGGUGAUGAUGUCAACAAUUGCUUUAAUUUUUCAAAAGCCAUAAGACAUGAAUCAUUAAAGAUAAAAGGUACAUCCUUAGCAAGUAAAUUGCAUAAGGGUCUAGAAACUUUGCUAAAAUCUUUAAUGAAACGUCUAUAGAAACCAGCAUGCCCAAGGAAAGAUCUUACUUCUCUUGAUUGUUUUAGGUGGAGGAAGAUUAGAAAUGAGAUCCACCUUUGCUUUGUCAACCUCAAUACCUUUGCUCGAAAUGAUGCGACCGAGAACAAUACCUUGUUUUACCAUAAAAUGACACUUCUCCCAAUUCAAGACUAAGUUCUUCUCGGUACAUCUCUGCAGAACUAGCGUUAGAUGAUGUAAACAUUGAUCAAACGAAUCACCAAAAACAGAAAAGUCAUCCAUAAAGACUUCAAGGAAUCGUUCAACCAUAUCAGAAAAAUGCUUAACAUGCAUCGUUGGAAUGUAGCAGGUGCAUUACAUAAUCCAAAUGGCAUUCUCAUAUAUGCAAAAGUGCCAAAAGGGCAAGUGAAAGUAGUUUUCUCCUGAUCUUUUGGUGCUAUGGGAAUCUGAUUAUAUCCUGAGUAGCCAUCUAGAAAGCAAUAAAAUUCAUGGCCUGCUAAUCUAUCAAGCAUUUGAUCAAUAAAUGGUAAAGGAAAAUGGUCUUUACGUGUGACAGAAUUCAACUUUCUAUAAUCAAUGCAUACACGCCAUCCUGUAGUUACUCUAGUUGGUAUCAAUUCAUUAUUAGCAUUGGUAACUACUGUGACUCCUGACUUUUUAGGGACAACUUGUACAGGACUGACCCAUGAACUAUCAGAAAUUGGGUAAAUGAUACAUGCGUCUAAUAGCUUAAGGAGUUCUGUUCUAACAACUUCUUUCAUAUUAGGAUUUAACCGACGUUGCAUUUCCCUAGUAGAUUUAGCAUUUUCAUCAAGAUGAAUGUAAUGCAUGCAGUCUACUGGAUUUAUACCUUUAAUGUCUGCUAUGGUCCAUCCUAAUGCUCCUUUGUGCUCUUUUAAAACAUCCAACAACUUACCUUUUUGUUCGUCAUUUAGGGAUGAUGAGAUGAUUAUCGGUAGAGUACUUUCUUCUCCCAAAAACGCAUAUUCCAAAGUGUUGGGUAAUGGUUUGAGCUCGAGUUUUGGUGGUGAUUCUGAUGAUGGGAUGAGUUUCUUCUCUGAUGGUGCUAGUUGUUCAACUCUUGACUUCCAUUUAUUAGUGUCCAUGGAUGGUGCUGAGUCAAGUAGGGCGUUGACCUCAUCAACCGAUCUGUCAAUAUCAAAAUCCAAACCAAAGUGGGUUAAACAUGUUUUUAAAGGAUCAUCACUAAGGUUUGAAAGAAAAGUAUUAUCAACUAUUGUUUCUAUUAAAUCCACAUUAACAAUUCCAUCAUCUGCACUGUGAGGUUGUUUGGCAAUGUUGAAGAUGUUCAGCUCCAUAGUCAUGUUGCCGAAGGACAACUGCAUAUUUCCAGUCCUGCAUUGAAUGUGAGCAUCCGCAGUUGCCAAGAAAGGUCGGCCUAGAAUAAUGGGGAUGUUCUUCCUUGAAUCCUGUAUUGGUUGAGUGUCAAUUACAAUGAAAUCAACAGGAAAAUAAAACUUGUCUACCUGGAUAAGCACGUCCUCCACAAUACCACGAGGUAUUUUCGUGGACCGAUCUGCAAGCUGUAACACCACUGGAGUUGGGUGUAAUUCUCCCAGUCCAAGUUUCACG